GGCGUGGAAAGGGCUAUAUCGCCGUGUGUUUCUUCCCUCGGUCACGGGGGAGGGAAUUCACCGCCCUGGAGAGUUUGGUGCCUGAGGCGGCUGCUUCCUUUCGCUUCUCGGGCGGGCCCUCUGGCUACAACCCGGUUGACAGUUCGUUAGGUGGAACAUGCAGGAAGGAAAGCGAAGACUGUUGACCCCAGCGCCACUUCAAACUUUGCGGGAUAGGACGUGUGUGUGUGCGUGUUGCGGGGCGGGGGUGGUGGUGGAAGGAAGUUUUCGUCAGCAAUUGUGAGCCUUCGCUAAUACAUUAAAUUGCGAGGAAAACGCGCCAAAACCUCUCGACAGUGUCUUGCGGGUGCGGAGGCCUCGACACGUCCUCUGCCUCGCUCCGUCUUAUUCCCUACCUUUGCGCAAUACCUAAGCCUUUUUUUCCCCGUCUUGCCUGAGGGAGAGACACUACCUGCGUUUUCGAAGACCGCGGAAACUUCGUAAGGCAGGAAGGAGGGACGGGUCACUUUUCGGCGGCCCUCCGCCCUCUUCUUCUUUCCUUCCCUUUCCUCGUCCUACCGCCAAGCAGCUGCGGGCCUCCAGGGGAUCAGCCUUUCCUGCGCUGGCCGGGCAGGCGGCGGCGGCGGCUGCGCGCCCGCUGCUUCUGCUCCCAGUUAGAGGUGGCUCCUCCAUUUCCAUAUCAUCACUGGUGUUGCAACCUCACAGUCCUCUGCUGUUCUAUAGUGAAGGAGAAAAUGUAGAAGAAAGGAAGUGAAGGGGAGUGUCUGCCUCCCAAGGGAAGGAGCUGGUGCUUGGCUGCUUGCCUUUCCGACCUCAAAUUGAGCAAGACACCUUUCAUUCCAGCUGUUACACAGCUGAUGUCUUAAUUCCCAGCCACCUGGACCCAGAAGCCAGAUGCCCACACUAGCAAUGCCUUACAGCUUUAUUUAUUUUGCCUACAAUGAUGUGGAGGACAGGAAAGGGUGAGGAGGAGGAAUGGCAACUUGAUUCUUGGGUCCCUCAACUCUUUCUUUCCUCUUGCAAAUUAAUUGUAAAAUCCACUGGCCACGAAAGAGGGUGAGAGCCAGUUGCAUGAGAAGUUGAGGAUUUUUGCACUCAGGAAAAGAAGGAAGGUCAGCAACUGCUGAUGCUUACGUUGAGUUCUGAAU
rnacentral:lncRNA from 1 species